rnacentral:ribozyme from 1 species
GAGUGAGUGAAAGAAAGGGAAAAGAGAAACAAAACGAAACCAUAAGUUGUUGAGAGUUCCAUGAUUCCUGAUUCCUCAUGGCACAUUUUCUUUAUGGUCGUGUUUGUUUAGUUACUUCCGCUUCUUCCCAAGUCGGGAGAAUUG